rnacentral:rRNA from 1 species
CAGCCGUAAACAAUGUGCGUUAGGUGUGUCGGUAACCACGUGUUACUGAUGCGCCGAAGAGAAAUCGUGAAACGCACCACCUGGGAAGUACGGUCGCAAGGCUGAAACUUAAAGGAAUUGGCGGGGGAGCACCACAACAGGUGGAGCCUGCGGUUUAAUUGGAUUCAACGCCGGACAUCUCACCGGAUAAGACAGCUGAAUGAUUGUCAAUCUGAGGGUUUUACAUGACUAGCUGAGAGGUGGUGCAUGGCGUCAGUGACU